rnacentral:rRNA from 1 species
GACGUAGGGGGCAAGCGUUGUCCGGAUUUAUUGGGCGUAAAGAGCGUGUAGGCGGCUUGGUAGGUCCGCUGUGAAAACUCGAGGCUCAACCUCGAGAUGUCGGCGGAAACCACUUGGCUAGAGUCCGGAAGAGGAGAGUGGAAUUCCUGGUGUAGCGGUGAAAUGCGCAGAUAUCAGGAAGAACACCUAUGGCGAAGGCAGCUCUCUGGGACGGUACUGACGCUGAGACGCGAAAGCGUGGGGAGCGAACAGG